rnacentral:rRNA from 1 species
UACAGAGGGGGCGAGCGUUGUUCGGAAUCACUGGGCAUAAAGGGCGCGUAGGCGGCUUAUCAAGUCAGGGGUGAAAUCCGGCAGCUCAACUGUCGAAGUGCCUUUGAUACUGAUGAGCUAGAGGGAGAUAGGGGUAUGCGGAACUUCCGGUGGAGCGGUGAAAUGCGUUGAUAUCGGAAGGAACGCCGGUGGCGAAAGCGGCGUACUGGAUCUCUUCUGACGCUGAGGCGGCGAAAGCUAGGGGAGCAAACGGG